rnacentral:ncRNA from 21 species
UCUGCUAAAAUAAAAACGUUGCUCAAUAGUGAGUUAACCCUUGAGCCUUCAUCCCUUUGCUCAAGCAUAUUAUAGGCGAAUUUUGUCGCCAAAGGAGAACCUUUUG